GGCUGAACGGCAAAGCACUUGGCUUCUGAACUAAGGAAUCCCAGGUUUGAAUCCUGG
rnacentral:tRNA from 1 species